UACGUAGGCAGCAAGCGUUGUUCGGAGUUACUGGGCGUAAAGAGUGUGUAGGCGGUUCUUUAAGUUCCGUGUGAAAUCUCCCGGCUCAACUGGGAGGGUGCGCGGAAAACUGGAGGGCUCGAGUAUGGGAGAGGAAAGCGGAAUUCCUGGUGUAGCGGUGAAAUGCGUAGAUAUCAGGAGGAACACCUGCGGUGUAGACGGCUUUCUGGACCAUCACUGACGCUGAGACACGAAAGCGUGGGGAGCAAACAGG
rnacentral:rRNA from 1 species